rnacentral:misc_RNA from 1 species
GUAGGUGAACCUGCGGAAGGAUCAUUAAUAAACCUAGCGUUCGCGCAUAUAGGUAACCCUUGAAUAAACUACCCUUGUUGCUUUGGCGGGUCGCCUUUUAGGCCAGCGGCUUCGGCUGCUGCGUGCCCGCCAGAGGACCACAACUCUUGUUUUUAGUGAUGUCUGAGUACUAUAUAAUAGUUAAAACUUUCAACAACGGAUCUCUUGGUUCUG